AAUCCAUAGGUUAAUGAGGCGAACCGGGGGAACUGAAACAUCUAAGUACCCCGAGGAAAAGAAAUCAACCGAGAUUCCCCCAGUAGCGGCGAGCGAACGGGGAGGAGCCCAGAGCCUGAAUCAGCAUGUGUGUUAGUGGAAGCGUCUGGAAAGGCGCGCGAUACAGGGUGACAGCCCCGUACACAAAAGCGCAUGUGCUGUGAGCUCGAUGAGUAGGGCGGGACACGUGGUAUCCUGUCUGAAUAUGGGGGGACCAUCCUCCAAGGCUAAAUACUCCUGACUGACCGAUAGUGAACCAGUACCGUGAGGGAAAGGCGAAAAGAACCCCGGCGAGGGGAGUGAAAAAGAACCUGAAACCGUGUACGUACAAGCAGUGGGAGCACCCUUUGGGUGUGACUGCGUACCUUUUGUAUAAUGGGUCAGCGACUUAUAUUCUGUAGCAAGGUUAACCGAAUAGGGGAGCCGGAGGGAAACCGAGUCUUAACCGGGCGUUAAGUUGCAGGGUAUAGACCCGAAACCCGGUGAUCUAGCCAUGGGCAGGUUGAAGGUUGGGUAACACUAACUGGAGGACCGAACCGACUAAUGUUGAAAAAUUAGCGGAUGACCUGUGGCUGGGGGUGAAAGGCCAAUCAAACCGGGAGAUAGCUGGUUCUCCCCGAAAGCUAUUUAGGUAGCGCCUCGUGAAUUCAUCUCCGGGGGUAGAGCACUGUUUCGGCUAGGGGGCCAUCCCGGCUUACCAACCCGAUGCAAACUGCGAAUACCGGAGAAUGUUAUCACGGGAGACACACGGCGGGUGCUAACGUCCGUCGUGAAGAGGGAAACAACCCAGACCGCCAGCUAAGGUCCCAAAGUCAUGGUUAAGUGGGAAACGAUGUGGGAAGGCCCAGACAGCCAGGAUGUUGGCUUAGAAGCAGCCAUCAUUUAAAGAAAGCGUAAUAGCUCACUGGUCGAGUCGGCCUGCGCGGAAGAUGUAACGGGGCUAAACCAUGCACCGAAGCUGCGGCAGCGACA
rnacentral:rRNA from 2 species